UACGAAGGGGGCUAGCGUUGUUCGGAAUUACUGGGCGUAAAGCGUGCGCAGGCGGUCUGUUAAGACCGAUGUGAAAUCCCCGGGCUUAACCUGGGAACUGCAUUGGUGACUGGCAGGCUUUGAGUGUGGCAGAGGGAGGUAGAAUUCCACGUGUAGCAGUGAAAUGCGUAGAGAUGUGGAGGAAUACCGAUGGCGAAGGCAGCCUCCUGGGCCAACACUGACGCUCAUGCACGAAAGCGUGGGGAGCAAACAGG
rnacentral:rRNA from 1 species